CUUUUUUUUCUUCUUUUCGUUCAUAAACCUAGGGCGAAGGGGAUUUUUUUUAUGCGGCGUGAUGAAAGGAAUCCAAUGCUUCGGGAGAGUAACGGAAGUAGAGAAAUUAAGAGGAAGUGAGGUGCGUUAUGGCGAAGAAGAAUCCGAGGAUGGGGGGAUUAAAUUUCUAGGGUUCGUGACAUUCAUUUUGGAGUGGUGAGCAAGUCUAUAAAUUGGGCAAACAAUUGAGAGUUUAGGAGACCAAGACAAAUAUUCUGGAAAGCCUAAGAGUGAGAGAGAGAAUUUACGAGGCACAGGUAGCAAGUUGGGGAGGUUGUUUGAGUGGAGUGUCGAACGUGUGAGGCUGCAGAAAUUGGUGGAAAGAGUUGAGCAGUGGGGAAAAGCUAAUUUUCCAGGUUGGAAUGGCGAGUGAGGAUGAUGCAGUGAAGAAUGCAAUGAUAGUUGAUGCUCGGGCUAGAAACAUUAGUCACAAUGUGAGGUGCACGGAGUGUGGGAGUCAAUCCAUUGAGGAUUCUCAAGCAGACAUUGCCAUUUUGCUCAGAAAGUUAAUUCGUGAUGAAAUUCGGGCUGGAAAGAGUGACAAGCAAAUCUACAAAAAGCUUGAGGACGAUUUUGGAGAGACUGUACUCUAUACGCCCAAGUUUGAUAUGCAGACAGCAGCUUUGUGGUUAUCACCUGUCUUGAUUGGUGCUGUAGCUGCAGGAGGAUGGGUUUACAAGAANCAUAAACAAAAGACUAAUGUCCAUAUCAUGGCUNUGGAUCUUGUUAGAGGUGUUUCAUUGACUCCAAAAGAGAAGGAGGCAAUGCUUGAUAUUCUUACGCCACCUCCUUCACAGGGAGCUAGAACACCCUUCUGGUGGAGGAGAUGACAAGGUCAAUGAUCACGUUGACCAUCUACUAUUAUGACUUGAAGAAAACCUUUGAUGUGGUACAUGUUUGUGACUAUAAGAUGUCCUGUCAAAAGAUUUUCUCUGCCCCCUAUGUGGACCUUGGUGCUAGCGAAUAAAGAGUGCAAACUUGUUCCAAACUAGCGCCCAGCGGCCAAGACUCAGCCGGGUGCUUGUCGACAUUUCAUUGGUGCUGGGUGCCAGAUUCUCAUAGAGCAUGACUAGUUCUAGGCGCCCAACUAUGGAGGAUGUGCAUCGGGUGAUAGAUAUGUUGAUGUGACAAUUUUUGUCCUAUUUCUUCCUAUUGCUUGAAGGAAACUGAUCUUUGGAGGUUUGGACGCAAAAGCUCACGUUUUUGGAGAGUUUGGAUGUUUGCUAGGACUUGUGGAAACAAUUCGUCUUCUUCCUUAUAUCUCAAUCUUCUUCCAUUUUCUCAUUUUGUUGAGAAUAGAUGUAACCGCUGAACUUUAUGUAUCUUAUAAUGUUGUGGAUAUAUAUAU